rnacentral:lncRNA from 10 species
UACUGGCUAUGUGGCCUUUUUAAGCCUCAGUUUCCUAUUUUAGAAGUGGGGAUAGGCUGGGUGCGCUUUCCACUAUAGAACAGUAGUGUUCUUUUAAAAAGUACAAUAUUCUUCCUCUUCUUUUCCAUAAUUUCAAUUAUUAGUCCAAUUAACCACUUUCUUUCUAAUAUGCCAAUUCUUAUGCAUGUAGUAUAACUUUUAAAUUUUCUUUGAUAUUUAGAAUAUUUAGCAUGCCACACAUGCUGCCCAAAAUAUCAAAAUCACAUGUUUUUGUGAUGGUCCAUAGUUUCUUACCUGCACUUCUCAAAUUAGGGUCCAGCCCUGGCAUCUCUUUGUUAGCUUCAGGGCUGACACUGUAGAUUGAUGCUCCUGCUUCACUGACGAUACUGAGAAGACAGAAAAAGGGGAAUAUCACUUUCCUAACUUCCUGCCUGGUCAAAGAAAAUAAAUGAAUGAAACCAGGCAUUACCAGAAAAAAAAAAAUAACAGGGCAAACUGUUCUCUUCAUAUCUCAAUGAUACUGACAGCAUCUAAUAUUUCAUUAAUAUAAAAUGAUUAUGCAGUGUUUGUUUUUUUCACAUAUGAAAUACACAGACUUAAAUCCAUAAUGAAUUCAAUCAGAGAAAUCAGUUGCUUUCUCUGUCACUGGUAACAAUAGAUGGUUUAUAGAUUAAUACAAUGAAUACUCUCCCAUGAUGCCAACUUCAAAAUAUUCAGAAUGCACAUAGCCUCUCCUGUAUUUAUAAUUCAUUAUUGACUGACAUUUAUGAUUCUUACCUGAAUGAAUCAUUCUAAGG